GCCGAUCGCCUUGCAGCCUGAGUUGUGCGGCCCAGCAACAUGCGCAGGCCAGGGAAGCAUAGAUUGAUGCGUUCAUAUCGCCGAGUGACCACGUCGCUUCGGCAAGCCAAUAGGAAGCGACGCGAGACGGGCACGCCAGAAUCUUUCAGCGGCGUCUUCGGCCCGAGGUAGAUGCGGCGUCGCGUCGCAACCCCGACACCGCCACUGCUCGAUCCAACGAACCACGAUCCGGUGAAACCCAAGAAACCGUCGACAUUCUUGCCUCACAGCUGCGCAGCUGGUCUUAGUAUCCCGUGGCUCGAGGUUGGCCCUCGCGGAAGAAGGUACUCACUACGGCCGCGGGAGAGCCAUCUUGAAGGGGCCAAAAUGAUGUUCCGGGCUUCGAAAACCCGGACAAGUUCUCUGGUGGGACCCGAGUCCAUGCUCAACGGACGGCCCAAGAUAAUACGCCUGUCCAAGUCCGCCUUUCGCAAGCACCGCUUUGGCGGACGAGACGCUGCGGCCGCCUUCGCUGCUGCCAGCACCGGCCACGGCCUCCCGUGGCUUGCCAGGUUCCGAAAUCGCUGGCUGCCCAACAUCAACAAGAACGUGCUCCUUCCGCCGCUCAUCUCGCUGCGUAGCGUCGGCCUUCGCAUCAUAGACAGCAACGAUCACGUGAUCCUGUCAGCCUGCACCACUGUGUGGGCCAUCGUGUCUGUCGCCUUCCAGAGCGUCAACGUCUGCAUGACCAUCAUGGGGGUCGUAUCCAACAACUUUCAUGGCUACCUGCUUGAUCAGGUCUCGCUGGUAUUGGCUACUCUGUGCUCAAUCAUCUGCUCGGUGUUGCUGGCGUUCAGCCCGGGGCGGUUGAAUGCGCUCAUCGAAAAGGUGGAGGACACGUUGUUCGAGCUGCACUGCCCGCGUGACCUGCGCCAGUACUGGAUGCCCAUCAGCCUGCUCACCGUGGUCGGUUGGCUGUACAUGGCGCUCAGGUUCGUCGCAGUCACCUGGGUGCUCGACAACCAGCCGCCAAGGGACGUCUUCAAGGGCGUGUUCUUCACGGAGGCAAGCCGCAAGUAUUCGGAGAACACCCUGCUGUUCCUGGUGGCACUCAUCUGGUACCUGAACACCCUGUUCGUCUACGGAACUCUCGUGUUCGUCCCCAUCCUGUUCAUCUCCUUCUGCAUGAUACUGGCGCGCGCCUUCCGCGUACACAACGCCGUUAUACGUGACGUGCACCGGUCAGGCCGCUCGGUCGAGGCCGACACCCUCGCGCAGAUCCGCAUCUUCUACGAGCGCAUCUGUACUCUGGUCACCGACCUGAACGAGAUCUUCGGGCCGGUCAUCUUCUCCUGGUACAUCAUGAUCGUCCUCAGCGUUUGCAUCGACAUGACUCAACUCUUCAGCGACACAAACCUGCUGAAGAACACCAAGGAAGACGAAGGCUUUCUCUUCAGUCUUCGUGGCAUUUACUCCCUCCUCUCCUUCCUGGGGACAUGUCUUGCCGCGUCGCGGGUAUCCGAAGAGGCGCUCGCGCCUCUGCCGCACCUGCACGAGCUCACGCUGCGCAGCUGGCGUCUCGACAUGAACACCAAGAUGGAGGCGCACUUCUUCCUCAGUCGCCUCUCGUCGUCGCCAGUCUCGAUGACCGGCUGGAACUUCUUCACUAUCAAUCGCGGCUUUAUACUGAGUGUAUGCGCCGCGCUCACCACGUACGUGGUCAUUAUCAUCCAAAUGAAUCCUAAGGCCAUGAAGACCAUCAACAAGUUGGUCACCACGGCGCUCAACAACACUGGCAACGGGACCGCAUCUAGUGAAUAGAAUAUCUCGGGUGUAUUUACUCUUACUUUACUGUAUCAAUGUGAACGCCAGCGUUAUUUUGCCGGAUACGA
rnacentral:misc_RNA from 1 species